GGGGAAUAUUGCGCAAUGGGGGAAACCCUGACGCAGCAAUACCGCGUGAGUGAAGAAGGUUUUCGGAUCGUAAACUUCUUUUAAGGGGGAAGAGUAGAAGACGGUACCCCUUGAAUAAGCCACGGCUAACUACGUGCCAGCAGCCGCGGUAAUACGUAGGUGGCAAGCGUUGUCCGGAUUUACUGGGUGUAAAGGGCGUGUAGCCGGGAAGGCAAGUCAGAUGUGAAAUCUGGAGGCUCAACCUCCAAACUGCAUUUGAAACUGCUUUUCUUGAGUGUCGGAGAGGUAAUCGGAAUUCCUUGUGUAGCGGUGAAAUGCGUAGAUAUAAGGAAGAACACCAGUGGCGAAGGCGGAUUACUGGACGAUAACUGACGGUGAGGCGCGAAAGCGUGGGGAGCAAACA
rnacentral:rRNA from 1 species